rnacentral:snRNA from 1 species
UCACUUCAGCAGCACAUAUACUUAAAUUGGAAUCGUACAGUGAAGAUUAGCAUGUCCCCUAUACAAGGAUAACACUUUUUUAAUAUAUGUAUUUUUAAAAGUU